CCCUGAAGGAACAGCCUCUGCCUUUGCUGCUCAGAGAUCUCAGAGGAAGGAGAAGCAGAUGGAGCUGACAAAGAGUCACCUUGGGUGACUCUCACCUGGGCUGGUGGAGUGGAGGACCCCUGGGGUUCGCUGGCUUGUUCUGAGGCCCUCAGUGCCUCAUCCUCAUCAGCUGACAGAGAAGCAGCUUGACGGAGCCUCUGAGGAGAAGAUCAGAAUCCGCCGUGGAUAGCGGCUUCCUCGUUAGACAAGAUUGAGCACAUCACCAGGACUGGACAUCCACCACGCUUGUCUUUCCACUCAGUUCUUUGACCAUGUCUACGGGGACACUUCUUGACUACAUCACUUGACAUAGAAAGACUUUCCCACUGUGGGCAGCACCUUUCCCUAGGAAAGGGGACUCUUAACUGUAUGAGAAUGAAGAAAACAAGCUGAUCACUGGCGUUCAUUUUCU